GCGUAGCUCAAUUGGUAGAGCACCGGUCUCCAAAACCGGGGGUUGUGGGUUCGAGUCCCUCCGCU
rnacentral:tRNA from 1 species